GGGCCACGGGGGUGCCCGGCAGGACACGAAGGCGCGACGUGGAGACGGUCGCUAAGGGAGUGACAACAGAGCGAUCAACAGAGGGGCUGCUGCGCGGGGAGGAGCGGCUGUGGCAGCCCCCCGCUGCCCGCCAGGCCUGCGAGCCAGCCCCGCACGGAAAUAGCCGUGCCCCUCCGCUGGCAGCCCACCGCGCACGGGUUAUUUUGGAUCGGCCCGAGCGAGAUAAAACUUAGAUCGGGGAAGCGCGGCUGAUUUACAGCAGCUUCGAGAGCCGCGUGCUCGGCUGCGGGUGAGAGAAAAGGCUUCCCGGCCUGCGCAGGAACAUCACCCGCGACGCCAGCGCCGGCUGAGGGGAGCGGGGCCCGCUGCGCACCCGGCCGUGCCCUGAGCGGGCAGCGCUCCUGCCUCACGGCCACGCUUCCAUCCCACAGCCUACGGCGCCGCCGCGGCUUGCUAGCCUUCUUAGAUAGGCGUCUUGGGCCACAAAACCGGCUUUGGGAUUUCCGUCCUCCCUCCUGCGCGGCAUCCGCUCCAAAAGCCGCUGUGCCUGUUCGAAUCUAAGCCUCUGGACCAGCAGAGUGGGGAUGUGCGACUAAGCCCAGCUUGCUUAAGCUCACGCUGCCGCACCGUACCUUAGAAAACAAGGAAGAUGUAGAAUCCUCUCAUCACAAAAUUUAUGUUCUGAACUGCAGCAAAUACCUUGACAAUCUUAUGUUCCAGCAAAGCACUAACAAUGAUCUCCUACACUGCUGUGGCAAGGCCCUGUGUUACAUACACUCUUUUUUUUUUUUUCCUUGUUGAAAAGGAGAGGAAAGAAUUAUGCUCAUUUACUAAGCUUCCAUAACUGCAGAAGAUUGGCUACCUUAAAAAAAUAACAGUAUUUCGAUGCAAAUAUAAACUUAUCACAGGCUUCCUGAAGCACAUGCAGCAUAAAGGCAGUAUGACUGCAGAGAAGGUAUCUGCUUUCAAGGGGAUUUGCAUUCUCAUUGAAUGCUGGACCAGGUCCAGACCAGCCGGAGGAUAACCACCCUCUAACCUCCCUGCGGAGACUUACAGAGAUGAGACUGAAGCAGUAUCAUUUCUGACAGAAAUCAAAUCUUGGCUACUGCACUGCUGGGAACACUACAGACAGGAAGAAAAAAAAAAAAAAGUAGGGAGGAAUUGGAAUUAAAACAAUUCUGUGAAGCUCAUUUAGGUAAUACUUUGUCAAAGGACCUGAUAUGGCAAUACACUGCGUGUUUACUGAAUGAAUGCAGAAGUUAAGCAUCUCCUAGUAUAAAAUAUAAUUUUAACAAAUGGAACAUACAAAUGUUAACGCUGACAUAGAACAUGGGCUCAGUUACAUGCCUAGGUUAACCAAGCUAAAUAAUACAUCUAGUCAAAUCAUACAUGAAACCACAAAGCAUUCAAAAAACACAAUUUGUUCAAAUUCUCAUCAGUUCAUAUCACAGCACUAGCUUUUCAGAAGACAGGAUAAUUCCUAGGUCUCCAAAGAUUCAAAAACAAGUGAUCUUAAUGGAAGCUUAUGAAUAUUAGGAUAUUGCAUUACAGGUGCUGGGCACAUAUUCAGUACUUCUUUCUUGAUGUAAUGCACCCAGAGACAUAGAUAAGAAAAUCCCAGGACAGACUGAUGAGCAGCUUCCAGGUAUUCCCUAUCUUGCUGUACUCAUUCUGCUGUAGUGGUAGAAACCUUUGAGUAGCCACAACAAACUGGAUCAUAAAAACUGCAAGCAAUUUUGGAGUGCCAGCAAAGCACAGGAGGCAGCACAGAAAUGGGAGCAAAAUGACUGCCCAAGGCAGCAACCACUCAGUUCUGCCAAUCUGGCCAAUAAAUGAGUAAUCUUCAUAUAUUGUGUUCAGGGCCAGUAUGCUCUAAGACUGUCCCAAAAGAAGAAGCAUCUGAAUUGUAUUAGAUUGUAUUAGACCUACAGAGACUCAUAGCUGUGGCUGGACUGUCUGUGAAAAUAUGUCUAGACUACAAGAAAAUGUAAUGUUUUAGAAUGUCAUAGUUGGCUUGUUUAAGCUGUAAUACUGGCAACCCAAAUUAUAGAUACACCAAACCCAAAAGACAGAUAGAUAUAAAACCAUUACAAAAACAUUAGGUGCAAUUUAUUUUUCAGCUGAUACCUAAAUCCGUACUUAUUUAAGUCACAGUUCAAAAUACUUCUCGCUAGAAUAUUUGUUUUUCAGUUUUACAGCAGUUGUAGCAGAAAUGUUAAUAUUAGUCUGACAAAUGCAUGGACAGAAACAGCCUGUCCGUAAAAGCAACGGGAAGGGCAAUAGAGCAAAGUCACGGUAAAAACCCCAAAACAAUUUGAGAACCAUGGACAUACUGAUAGCCAUCAAACAGAGAAGAACUGAGUAACGUGGUGUUUCCACCACCAGAAUUGUUGUGUCCUAGGAAGCCCACAGCAUGGAUUAGCAAAAGACCUCUGCCCUGACAGAGGGAGGAUAGCAGUGAGGUUGCACCAUGCUCUGUGUGCCCCUCCUUUUCCUGUUCACCCAAAAGGGAAGAUGACUGUAUCCAGGAAGACACCCACAGCAGGCAAACCCAGGAAACAGCCUGCAAACUGAGAUUCACCUAGGGUGAGGUAAGCAAGAAUAAGAGGUGAAAAGAUGGACCAUAAUAGUGUGUUUGACUGCCAAAGGAUAGAGCAGGCCUACACAAAAAAACAAAGCAUCACGAUGCACAAAUCAAGCAACGUGGUGAGAACUUGGUGGGUGUCCUCCAGGGACAAAACUGAUCCUGGCCAGAUCACUUCUUGGGCACACAUCCCAUAGCCCCCUUCUUAAAAGCACGGGGGUUGUGAGAGUGGGAAUGAAAAUGAUAAGAAGCAAGUGUGGGACAAACCAGUUUUGUUUAAAACAGAUACCACCUUCUCUUUCCAUAACGUCUCUCUGAGGGGUUUUUUGCAUUAAUUUUCUUGUGUUAACAAGUGACAUGAGCUUCUCAGAUAAUCAUUAGAAUCGCAGAGUUGAAACUUGCAGAAUACUGCAGAAUAUACAAUAAAAUUACAAGAACUAGCAGGCAAUACUGCAAACAAUUUAACACACUAGCACGUAAGAAGGCCAAGUGAUGGAGAACCCCACUGCUGUUUAUUUUACCUAGUUAAUGAUUUUAAAGUACAGUUUGCUCCAUCGAAGUGUUUAAAGAAUAUUUGCUUUAAAAUACCUCACUUUUUAAAACCCCUGUUUUUAAAUGUCCUCCUGGCACAUUUAAAUGGGCUCCAUGAAAACCUCAAUCAGCAGUGCAUGCUAGACGAGAUUUAGGGUCAGAUUGUAUGUUAAUUAUUUGCACAGAGACAUUUUCUGAAGAGACAGGGGAAUGAAUGUACAGUAAUUGUGGCCUGCCUCUAAAAAUGGGACAGAUUUACCAGAGGGGACAGUACUUGUAACAUCAAGAGACCUGUCAGUGUUAGUGCUUUGCCAUCACAUGUCUGUGUGGGUUCUUUCUCUGCCUCCACAUCCACAGAAAUCUGGGGAUGUUUGCCCAGGGAAGGCAGCUCUUCAUCUGAUACAAAAUUUAGGAGCUAAUGCGGUUUGCUAUUACUUGAGCCAAACAUUAGGAAAGGGAAAAAAAGCCCAAACCACCACACACACACACACAUACAUACAUACAUAUAUAUAUAUAUAUAUAUAUAUGAAGGAACAGGGCGGUUCUGUAGGAAAUAAAACCUGGAGCUAUUCUGGAUUAACAAUUUCCUCACAGAAUUAAAGCUGAGAUUUACCUGAAAAUAAAUUUACUUUUAUGCUGAAAUGAAUUGGUCCCAAAGAUUUGCGGGGAGAGGGAGGGUGCAGAGGGUGAGUGUCACAUCAAUACAGCUACAGCUUGGUAACCACUCUGCUAAUGCUGGAGUGAAGAUCCUCACAGUACAAACUAGCUCUAAGAUCUGGUCUCUUGUUUCUGCACAGCAACACGUGGUUAAUUUACAGGUGUAAGUCCUACCUAAACGGUUUACACAGCACACCUCUUAAUACAGACACCCCUACAGUUGUGGAGAAGUUUCUCUGUGAUGCCAUACCUUUUCUUGUGUGGGAAUACUCUGGUAGUAUAGACAGAGAGAAUUGGUACUGAAAUCAAACUGUUUCACAUAUUUUCAAAAUAAUUUGUUGCUGCAGAGUGCCUGCUUCCAAAUGCUGGUUGCUCUUCAAGUACCAGUUGCUGUUUUCUGAGAUUUAUGACUGAAAGAAUUAAAACCAAAGAAAACUAAAAUAUAUCUCCAAGGAAUACUAAUAGCUCCUUCAAGCUCUGCCACAUUCUAGAUCUUAUUAUUACCAUAAAAGAUUGUUAAGGUAAUAGAUAUCCCUCUCUAAAUUUAAACAUUUUUUACCAAAAAGUGAAUUCUAAUUCAUUAUACAAAUAUCCCAUAUCCCAAACAACGAUCCAUGCAAAUGAUAACUAGGUGAUCAUUUGCCCCAUUUGUACAUACAUUUAAAGAGCAGCUGAAAAUUUUGGCUGUUGUAAAUGUAUGUGCAUGCCACUGAUUUGCAAACGUAGGACUAAUGUCCUGGAAACAUUCAAAUGCCCAGUGGCAUCAGCAGGAAUUGAGGGAUUUCAGCAUUUGCCAGAACUGAGCCUUUUCUACAAGUGGGUAUAAACACAUUUGCUUGCACAUAGAGAGCUUUUGAAUAAAACACAGAUGGACAAUAAUUUCCUAUUCAUCUGGACAUCCUCAGAGAUUACAUUCCUGACUAUAGUUUUAAUGUUAUAAAUUAAGAUUUGGUAGUUCCUUUAAACAUAGUUCAUUUAUUUUCUACGGAUUCUGAAUUGUGGUUCCCAGCAAAUUAGGAGAACAUAUUUCUAGCCAGCCGACCAAUCAUAAUAUUAACUCUCUCACACUUGCUAAUAACCUUUAAGGAAGCUUUACUAUUUAUAUCACAGCCACGAAAACAUCCAAGAAGCACAUUAAUUAAUAGUGAUAAUAAAAAAUAAAGCCCUCAGUCACACGUUCCAGUCAGUCACUUGCACCCAUAUAUUUUUAAAAUGAACAAAAUACAUUUGCAGUUUGACAGGGAAUUAUUUUAAGGCCCUAGUAUCCCUUAGAAUCUCUUCUCACGUCUUUAGAUGUCUGCCUUUCACUCGCGCGGGCUGAAAUGUCUAGACAUCCAAAUUAAGGAGUGACCAAUCACUGACAGACUGAUCUCUCUGCGUACAAGGUCAGCACUACAGAGGCACACACGCUCGCACACGCACACAUGCUGGCAGCAGGCACCGCGCAGGAGACCUUUAUUUGUGCACAAAAAUAUUGAUGUUGCUAAGUGAUACGCAGGCAGCCGCUGGCCGUAAGAAUUUGUGUUUGUUUGUUUAUCGCUGUGACUUCUUUCCCAAGUAAACAAUACAACGGUGAUGCCGAGAUGGAAGAACCUGUCUAAAUUAAAACAGCUAUGGAACCUAAUUUGUUAUGUCUGCAUGGUAUCAACCUAUUGCUUCCCCCCCCCUCCCCACCCCCGAUUUUGUCCUGUUAAAGUCAGAAGGAAAAAAUUUAGGAGGAACUUCAAAGCACACAUGUUCCAAAUGGUCCCAAUCAUCCUACUUUUCUUCAGUUAAACAAUAAAAACAAUUUAUUUGCAAAGUCCCCUCUGCAUCUUAAGUUUGCUGACACCACACUAAAGGAAAAUUUUUGGUAUUAAAAUAAAGGUCCUGUAUUAAAUUCAUAUGUCUAGUCACUGGAAUAAGGGGCAACCUGACAAUACUGUCUCAUCACACUGCAUAAAAAGUGUGGAUAGACUUUCCUUAUCUAAAAAUUCAGUGCAGUUCCAUUCAGUUCAAUCCCCCCAAAACAAAAACACACACACAAAAAAACCCAACUUUUUUGUGUCAUCCCUAAUUUGAAAAACUGUAUUUUGUGAUACUAAAAGUAGGUUUUUGGAACCACAGGUGUCCAUGACAGGGGUCCUGUUCAGAGGUUUCAAAAUAAGUUAGCUUUCUUGACUUCAAGGGUGCCAGAGUAUGGAGAAGCUGGGUUUCCUUAUUCAACUCCCCUGGCUGGCUUUCAAGGCCUGGCUUUCAAGGCUUCUGGGGUGUCCCAGCAGUGCUGCAGGGCCCCAGGCUUGUGAUCCCCCUGAUCCAAUGGAUCUCCCCAGGGGAGGUGCCCAGGUGAGAUCCUGGGGAGCUCUGCAAAUGCAGGUUCCAGACUUUACUGUGCUGUCUGCGAGCACGUUGGGAUGGAACUGGCCCAGUCUCCUCCUGGAAGUUUCCAGAUUCCCAGAGAUGUUAACAGUCAACAUGAUAGACGAUUAGACUGCAAAUCCUUUUUUUCAACAGAAAAAUAUUUCACAGAGCUGUGGCAUAGCAGUGACACCACUGAAGCCAGGCCUCUCUCCCUCUCACCUACAGCAGUGCCACCGACACCUGGAACUACACAGAACAUAUUAGAAAAACAACAAGGAAACAAGAUAAAAUUUUUAAGUGACUUCUCCAAACCAUUACUAGACCUGAAGAAAAUUUCAGAAGACCCCCAUCCUGUAACUUGCAUUAUCCAUUAAUCAACAUUCCUGACAGAGUAUAGGAAGUCGGGGAUCUGUUCCACAUCAUGGAAGAGUUACUGGUUACCAAAAGGGCUUUUGACUGUGUGGAGUGAAAGAACUUUUCAAAACUCCUGAAGGAUAUACACUGCUAUUUAACUAUUUGUUUCCAACAUUAUAAUGAAGAGUUUCAGCCCUUGAUUUGUGAGCAGGAACUUGUAUCUUUAAGUACUAAGAACACUUCCAAAGAAACUAAAAAAAUAUGUUUCUAAACAACUCAUCCAUAUCAUAUUGCGUAUUGAUGUAGAUUUACAAGUGCCUGGAACUCAGCAGGAAUUUCAAAUGCACAGGAGCCAAGCGUGUUCCCAUCAGCCUGCUGGUACCUACAUGUGUUGCUUCUGAAGAAGCUGAUGAUCCUGAACUGGCAUCAAACACUUCUCUGGCAAAGAGAUAUUGUCCACAACGCUAGAUACCAACCACCAACCAUCCAGAGCUGCCUCAUCAUCGCUCCUUACAGGAAAUGUCUGAUCUCAGAAAAGACCAGCAAGGCAUUGGCACUACCCCUGCAGUGACUCAGGAGAGGUUAUCAGCUGCUGGCUCCUUUUGAAGGACUUAAUACAGUCUGAGCCAUUCUUCUCUAUAUAACAUUGAUGUAUAUCAGUACCACCAUCAGGUGAUUUCAAAAUUUCAUUUUGAUGACUGCUUUUACUAUCAACUUCUCAGCAAAAAAUAAUUAGUAAUUUUUAAAAAAUAAUAUUAAAAAAACCCAAAGCACACCAAGAACAGCCGGACACUGUUUAUGUGGAGAAACAUUUCAAGCUGGAAAAUCUCAGAAGAAAUGUUCAGUCUUAUCUGCUGUUCAUAGGCUCACAUUUUACCCUCUCUCUCCUGCUUUACUAAUCUCCAGUGCACAUGCCACACCUCUGGACAUGUGGUAGCACGAUCCUUACAAUGAUGGGAACCCCUCUAAAGUCACAUGUCUUACUAUGACUCAAAACCUGUUAGAGCUACAAAAUCUGGCAACAAAAUUCCUAGGGCAUUCUGUUCCCUUUCCUUCUGAGAAGGGAAACUCUUCCAGUCAGUCAGCAACCAAAGCACCUGAAACCAUCUCCACCAUUCCUGAUGUAUCUGGCUCUUCUGGAUUGCUUCCAGUGCUAAGGUGCUUUCUGCCCAGCAUGGAGUGAUGGCAGAGGCUGCACCAUAGUGAGCAAAAUGAUGCAUCACAGAUUCCAUAGGGGACUGCAGACCAGUAUGUGUGCACUGUGUCCAAGUGACGUAUUUUUUGUGUGGUAUUGCUUUGAUAAGCAAAUAAAAAAAAAGGCAUAGGAUAUAAAGGUCUGCUAAACAGCUUCAAUCUUUCCCUGAAACUUCAGCAAUAAAGAUAAUUCACCAUUUUACUGCUUUAGUCAUCAAAUUUUAUUACACUUUUGCUAGCAUGAAUGUUUUUUUCUCUCUAACACUCUAGGACUCAGUGAUUUGUAAGGUCUCUCUGUUCAGCUUUGAGCAAAAAAAAGGUGCAAAUGUUAAUACCUGUUACAGUCAUUCCUCUCUAUUCCCUCUUUCCUUGUUCCUGAGACUUUCAGAGCCUAAAAUACAUUUAACAAACUGAAGAAAAGCAUUUGCAAGACAUGGGGUGCUCUGAAGAGCCACGGACUAAAAACAUCACAUACAUAAACAUGGGGCUACAGUCCCAACACUUUGCCUCUACAGUAAUGGCACCAGUUUUCUGUUUUCAGAAGCAGAGUAUUUGUCUUUGGGGUUUAUGUCCCUUCCCAAAAUAAGGCUUCUUCCAAUUGCACUCGAGUGGAUACUUUCUUUGGGUCUGUUUUUUUGCUUUUUUUCUUCCAGGAGACUUUUUUCACUUCCAGACAGCAUCAGAGGAGUCAUAAGAUCUGGUAUUCAAACCUGAAAUUACUGACGUGAAGGCAGUGUGAACCCAAUUGCAUAUCCAGCCACACAUUUUUAAUUUCAUAUGUAU